AUUGAACGCUGGCGGCAGGCCUAACACAUGCAAGUCGAACGGUAACAGAAAGCAGCUUGCUGCUUUGCUGACGAGUGGCGGACGGGUGAGUAAUGUCUGGGAAACUGCCUGAUGGAGGGGGAUAACUACUGGAAACGGUAGCUAAUACCGCAUAACGUCGCAAGACCAAAGAGGGGGACCUUCGGGCCUCUUGCCAUCGGAUGUGCCCAGAUGGGAUUAGCUAGUAGGUGGGGUAACGGCUCACCUAGGCGACGAUCUCUAGCUGGUCUGAGAGGAUGACCAGCCACACUGGAACUGAGACACGGUCCAGAAUCCUACGGGAGGCAGCAGUGGGAAUAUUGCACAAUGGGCGCAAGCCUGAUGCAGCCAUGCCGCGUGUAUGAAGAAGGCCUUCGGGUUGUAAAGUACUUUCAGCGGGGAGGAAGGGAGUAAAGUUAAUACCUUUGCUCAUUGACGUUACCCGCAGAAGAAGCACCGGCUAACUCCGUG
rnacentral:rRNA from 1 species